UACGAAGACUGCAAGCGUUACUCGGAAUCACUGGGCGUAAAGGGUAUGUAGGCGGCUAGGUGUGUCAGAUGUUUAAGCGCGGGGCUCAACCCCGUUGUUGCAUCUGAAACUGCCUGGCUAGAGACUCGGAGGGGUAAGCGGAAUUCCAGGUGUAGCAGUGAAAUGCGUAGAUAUCUGGAGGAACACCAAAAGCGAAGGCAGCUUACUGGACGAGUACUGACGCUGAAAUACGAAAGCGUGGGGAGCGAAAGGG
rnacentral:rRNA from 1 species